ensembl:lncRNA
GAACGAAGAGGAGGGUGGGGUAGCAGUGAAGGGGAACGAAGAGGAGGGUGGGGUAGCAGUGAAGGGGAACGAAGAGGAGGGUGGGGUAGCAGUGAAGGGGAGCGAAGAGGAGGGUGGGGUAGCAGUGAAGGGGAACGAAGAGGAGGGUGGGGUAGCAGUGAAGGGGAGCGAAGAGGAGGGUGGGGUAGCAGUGAAGGGGAACGAAGAGGAGGGUGGGGUAGCAGUGAAGGGGAACGAAGAGGAGGGUGGGGUAGCAGUGAAGGGGAGCGAGGAGGAGGCUGGGGUAGCAGUGAAGGGGAGCGAGGAGGAGGCUGGGGUAGCAGUGAAGGGGAGCGAGGAGGAGGCUGGGGUAGCAGUGAAGGGGAGCGAGGAGGAGGAGGCUGGGGUAGCAGUGAAGGGGAACGAGGAGGAGGAGGCUGGGGUAGCAGUGAAGGGGAACGAUGAGGAGGCGGCUGGGGUAGCAGUGAAGGGGAACGAUGAGGAGGCGGCUGGGGUAGCAGUGAAGGGGAACGAUGAGGAGGAGGCUGGGGUAGCAGUGAAGGGGAACGAAGAGGAGGAGGCUGGGGUAGCAGUGAAGGGGAACGAAGAGGAGGAGGCUGGGGUAGCAGUGAAGGAGACCGAUACUGUCACAGAGAUCAGUCCUGGUCAGGAUGAAGAGCGUCUGCGACGUCUGGCGGCCAGGAGAGAGAGUGUCCUGAAGUCUCUACAAGGACUUCUCACUAGAGGGAAGGGCCUGAGAAGACACAGCCUUAAACCUACACGGACACAGAAAAAUGGAGCUGAAGAGAAGAAGAGUAGAAAGACAGGCGGGCAGAAAAAGGACAGAAAAACAGCGAGUAAGACAGCAGGCGGCAAGGCAGCAGGCGGCAAGGCAACGGACAGGAAGACAACAGAUGAGAAGGUGGAAAGUACGAAAACGGAAGUAAAAAAAUUGGAAGGCAAAAAAACUGAAUGUAAGAAACCAGAACAAAAGAUAGAGAAGAAAGUGGAGAGCAAGAAAUCAGCGGAGGCUAAGAAGUCCGACUCGACCCGGGCGGAGGCUAAGAAGUCCGACUCGACCCGGGCGGAGGCUAAGAAGUCCGACUCGACCCGGGCGG